rnacentral:sRNA from 1 species
AGGAAAGUUCCUCAGUCAACGAAC